rnacentral:tRNA from 1 species
AACAGUAUAUUUAAUUAGAAUAAUAAUAUUUACUCUGCAAGUAAAAGUUGAAUAAUGAUUUAUUCUACUGUUA